ACACGUAAUACGGAGGGUGCAAGCGUUAUCCGGAAUCACUGGGCUUAAAGGGUGCGUAGGCGGGUAAAUAAGUCAGAGGUGAAAGCUCACAGCUUAACUGUGGAAUUGCCUUUGAUACUGUUUAUCUUGAAUUGUGUUGAGGUUAGCGGAAUGUGACAUGUAGCGGUGAAAUGCAUAGAUAUGUCAUAGAACACCAAUUGCGAAGGCAGCUAGCUAGGCAUUGAUUGACGCUGAGGCACGAAAGCGUGGGGAGCGAACAGGAUUAGAUACCCUGGUAGUCCACGCCCUAAACGAUGCUUACUCGAUGUUUGUGUUUACAUGAGCAUCCAAGGGAAACCGUUAAGUAAGCCACCUGGGGAGUACGUUCGCAAGAAUG
rnacentral:rRNA from 1 species